rnacentral:misc_RNA from 1 species
CGAACUUCUUACCCACGGACUCACACGCACCCACAUUGAUUCAUUCUCUUUGCAGUAUCUCUCUACAUAUUAUUAUUAUUAUUAUUUUUCAUUUCUCUCUCCUCAAAGCUUCAAUGCCAGGCGGGAACUCUACCUCCGGCGCCAGGACCGGCGUCAGAGUCGUCGUCGCAGGCGACCGUUUUACCGGGAAAUCCAGCUUGAUUGCGGCGGCCGCCACCGAGUCUUUUCCCGAGAACGUCCCUCGGGUGCUUCCUCCUACUCGCCUGCCCGCCGAUUUCUUCCCUGAUCGCGUCCCCGUCACCAUCAUCGACACUUCUUCCGGCUUGGAGAGUAGAGGCAAGCUCUUUGAAGAAUUGAAGCGAGCUGAUGUGGUGUUGUUAACUUAUGCUUGUGAUCAACCUCUGACAGUCAGUCGUUUAAGUAGUUUUUGGCUUGAGGAACUCCGGCGAUUAGAGGUCAAGGCACCGAUUAUUGUAGUUGGUUGUAAACUAGAUUUGCGAGAUGAUACUCAGCCCGUUAGCCUCGAGCAUCUCAUGGGGCCAAUCAUGCAGCGU